ACGAGUUUGACUCCUGGACUCACGGACGAACGCUGGCGGGCGUGCUUAACACAUGCAAGUCGAGCGGAAAGGCCCUUCGGGGUACUCGAGCGGCGAACGGGUGAGUAACACGUGAGCAACCUGCCCCAGGCUUUGGGAUAACCCCGGAAACCGGGGCUAAUACCGAAUAGGACCUGGCCUCGCAUGAGGCUGGGUGGAAAGUUUUUCGGCUUGGGAUGGGCUCGCGGCCUAUCAGCUUGUUGGUGGGGUGAUGGCCUACCAAGGCGACGACGGGUAGCCGGCCUGAGAGGGCGACCGGCCACACUGGGACUGAGACACGGCCCAGACUCCUACGGGAGGCAGCGGUGGGGAAUAUUGCACAAUGGGCGGAAGCCUGAUGCAGCGACGCCGCGUGAGGGAUGACGGCCUUCGGGUUGUAAACCUCUUUCAGCAGGGACGAAGCGUAAGUGACGGUACCUGCAGAAGAAGCGCCGGCCAACUACGUG
rnacentral:rRNA from 1 species